UUUGGGGUAGCUCAGUUGGUUAGAGCGAAAGCCUGAAAAGCUUUAGGUCGUUGGUUCGAGUCCAAUCCUCUACA
rnacentral:tRNA from 1 species